rnacentral:rRNA from 1 species
GACGAACGCUGGCGGCGUGCCUAAUACAUGCAAGUCGAACGCAGUGGGGACGGGUGAGUAACACGUGGGUAACCUGCCAUCAGAGGGGAUAAACCUUGGCAACAGGUGCUAAACCGAUACUGAUGUAUGGACUCGCGGGGCAUUAGCUAGUUGGUGGGGUAACGGCUCACCAAGGCCACGAUGCAUAGCCGGCCUGAGAGGGUGAUCAGCCACACUGGGACUGAGACACGGCCCAGACUCCUACGGGAGGCAGCAGUAGGGAAUCUUCGACAAUGGACGAAAGUCUGACCGAGCAACGCCGCGUGAGUGAAGAAGGUUUUCGGAUCGUAAAGCUCUGUUGGUAGAGAAGCGGUAUCUAACCAGAAAGCCACGGCUAACUACGUGCCAGCAGCCGCGGUAAUUC